rnacentral:rRNA from 1 species
GGGCCCGCACAAGCAGUGGAGCAUGUGGUUUAAUUCGAUGCAACGCGAAGAACCUUACCUGGACUUGACAUGUAGCGGACGAUACUAGAGAUAGUAUUUCCUUAGGGGUCGCUAUACAGGUGCUGCAUGGCUGUCGUCAGCUCGUGUCGUGAGGUGUUGGGUUAAGUCCCGCAACGAGCGCAACCCUUAUCGUUAGUUGCCAACAGGUAAUGCUGGGAACUCUAGCGAGACUGCCUGGGUUAACCAGGAGGAAGGUGAGGAUGACGUCAAGUCAGCAUGGCCCUUAUGUCCAGGGCUACACACGUGCUACAAUGGUCGGUACAGAGGGCAGCGAACCGCGAGGUCAAGCA